AUUGAACGCUGGCGGCAGGCCUAACACAUGCAAGUCGAACGCGCGGCGGACGGGUGUGUAAUGUAUGGGGAAUGCCCCUUAUCGGGGGAGAACUACUGGAAACGGUGGCUAAUACCGCAUAUUUUCGGAUAACCCCUAGGGGAGUAGAUAGUAGGUAAGGUAAUGGCUUACAUAGGCGACGAUCCCUAGCUGGUCUGAGAGGAUGAUCAGCCACACUGGGACUGAGACACGGCCCAGACUCCUACGGAGGCAGCAGUGGGGAAUAUUGCACAAUGGGCGCAAGCCUGAUGCAGCCAUGCCGCGUGUAUGAAGAAGGCCCUAGGGUUGUAAAGUACUUUCAGUCGGGAGGCGUUACCGACAGAAGAAGCACCGGCUAACUCCGUGCCAGCAGCCGCGGUAAUUC
rnacentral:rRNA from 1 species